UGGGGAAUAUUGCACAAUGGACGGAAGUCUGAUGCAGCAACGCCGCGUGCGGGAUGACGGCCUUCGGGUUGUAAACCGCUUUUUCCCAUAACGAAGUUUUUUGACGGAAGUGGGGGAAGAAGCACCGGCUAACUACGUGCCAGCAGCCGCGGUGAUACGUAGGGUGCGAGCGUUUUCGGGAAUUAUUGGGCGUAAAGAGCUUGUAGGCGGUUUGUGGGGUCGGUAGUGCAAACUCAGUGCUUAACGCUGAGCCUGCUGUUGAUACGGGCAGACUAGAGGAAGGUAGGGGGGAAUGGAAUUCCCGGUGGAGCGGUGGAAUGCGCAGAUAUCGGGAGGAACACCGGUGGCGAAGGCGGUUCUCUGGGCCUUUCCUGACGCUGAGAAGCGAAAGCGUGGGGAGCGAACAGG
rnacentral:rRNA from 1 species